rnacentral:rRNA from 1 species
CCUACGGGAGGCUGCAGUGAGGAAUAUUGGUCAAUGGCCGUAAGGCUGAACCAGCCAAGUCGCGUGAAGGAAGAAGGAUCUAUGGUUUGUAAACUUCUUUUAUAGGGGAAUAAAGGUAUCCACGUGUGGAUAUUUGCAUGUACCCUAUGAAUAAGCAUCGGCUAACUCCGUGCCAGCAGCCGCGGUAAUACGGAGGAUGCGAGCGUUAUCCGGAUUUAUCGGGUUUAAAGGGUGCGUAGGUUGUUUUUUAAGUCAGCGGUGAAAGUUUGUGGCUCAACCAUAAAAUUGCCGUUGAAACUGGAAGACUUGAGUGUGUUUGAGGUAGGCGGAAUGCGUGGUGUAGCGGUGAAAUGCAUAGAUAUCACGCAGAACUCCGAUUGCGAAGGCAGCUUACUAAGCCAUAACUGACACUGAAGCACGAAAGCGUGGGGAUCAAACAGGAUUAGAUACCCUAGUAGUC